rnacentral:tRNA from 1 species
GAGGAGCUGUUCCGGUUCCUGGAGGACCGUUUCGCGUGCGCCCAGGCGUGCACCGAGUGCGCGCGUGCCUGUGCGACGCGGGCGAGUCUCG